UAGCCAUUGCAUUUGUUGCAAGUACAGACUUAUAACAAAUGUGGCCGAAUAUAUGGCAUUUUCUUCGGUUUAAAACCGCAACUUGUCGUCGCAGAUCCUCAAAUUGUUAAGAAUAUAUUAGUUAAAGAUUUUAACAUGUUUCAUAAUAGAAU